rnacentral:misc_RNA from 1 species
GUUAGUUCUUCUCCAUUCUCCCACAGGUGCUAUUUUACAUGACUGUAUACAAGUUAAGAUAAAUUUCCUCCAGUUAAUGUAUUUAUUUCAUAUUAUUGACUAGAUUCAUUUUCCAUCCUGCUUUCCUUCCUCUCUACCCAACUUAGUGUAAAUUCCAACAUUUCCUUCCUUUCAUUUAAUCAACUUACUAUUUCCUGCUUUCUAAUUUUCCUUCCCUCCACUUGUUGAUUUACAUGUUCACUUGCAGUCUGACUUGACCUAAAGCACCUCCAUCUGGGAGGUGGGAGCUCAAAAGAAAUAAGGAGAGAGGAGCAAUUUGAGGAUUUGAAAUUUGAGUGGAGUCAUGAACAAUUUUUGAAUAAUUGAAAGGAAGAGACAUUGAUGCUGUUAAGGGUUUUGGUUUGGGUGGAA